GCGGACGUAGUGCACGGUGCACCACUGCAUUCUUUCAUGCCCCAACAGAAAUUCAGUAGUUGCUGGGGUUCGACUCCCCGCGUCCGCA